CACAAACACAACACAGUGACAUCAUCUCAUCACAUCUUAGUGACACGAAAAAGAAAUUGUUCUGUUCACAAACUGAACCCACAAAUAUGUGAAACAUCCGUUUGUUUGUUGGAGAUUUACGUGUCUUUGCAGUCAUUCUGUGUUUGAGUUGAUUCACUUUUUGCGUCUCUUUGUGGUUAUUUUGUGUCUUUUCAUGUCUAUAGUCGUUUUGCGUGUCUUUGUGGUCGUUUUGCAUCUCGUUGUUGUCACUUUGUGUAUGUUGUCUUGAAGCCUUUUUAUCAACCAUUAAAGUGUCUAUUUAAUUGUUUUGUGUGUUUUUGUGGUCCUUUUGUGUCUCUUUGUGGUAAUUUGUGUCUUUUUGACAACAGUCUUAGUGUUUUUUCAGUUGUUUUUCGUCUCUUUGCAGUUCAUUUGAGUCUCCGUUUUCAUUUUGUGUCUCUCUGUUGUCGAUGUGAGUGUCUUUCUUGACCAUUUGUGUUGCCUUUGGUUGUUUUGCGUUUCUUUCUGACGUUCCAACAGGAGUCAUCAACACUUUGACCAGAAGCAGGUUCAGUGAUCCCUCCGUGUUCGUGUGUCAGAGCAGAGAUAGGCUGAUUGUGUUUCUGAUGGUGGUGAGGACAGCAGGAAGGAAACAUUCACUUCCUCUUCAGUGGUCUGAUGGAACGAUUACAGUCAGUCAUUCAGAACCACAAAUACUGAUGCAGUUUGUGGAGAAUCAUAAAGUGCCUUAAAGCGUUUAAACACAGUUACUCCUGUUAAAUUGUGUCUGCUAUUUUGUGAUUGAUUUAAACUUCUUUUGUGUCUCUUUGUGUUCAAUGUGAGCCUUUUUGUCAGUUGAUUUGUGUCUCGUUUUGGUCAUUUUCUGUCUCUUUGGGACCACUUUAGGCCUUUAAUCAAAAGUUUGAGUGUCUUUUUAGUUGUUUUGUGUCUCUUUGUGAUCAUUCAGUUUCUCUCAAGGUGGCCUUGUGUCUAGUUCUGGUCAUUUUGGGUCUAAUUUUGGUUGUUUUGCAUCUCUUUGUUGUCAGUUUUUGUCUCUGUGGUCAGUUUGAGGCUUUUUGUCAACAAUCUGAAUGUCUUUUUAGUUGUUUUGCGUGUCUGUGGGAAUUUUGGGUUUAGUUUAGGUUGUUUUGUGUGACUUUGUGGUUAUUUUACAUUUUUAUUCACUUGGAGUUUUUUGUCAACGAUAUGAAUAUCUUUUUUGUCGUUUCGUGGUCACUUGUGUCACUGUGGUGAAUCUGAGGCUUUUUGUCAACAAUCUAAAUGUCUUUUUAGCCGUUUGGCAUCUCUUUGUGGUCAUUUUGUGUUUGUUGUUGUCACUUUGGGCCUUCAGUCAACAGUUUUAGUUUGUUUUUAGUUGUUUUGUGUCUCGUGGUGGUCAUUUUGCGUCUUUUCUGAUCAAUUUAAAUCUUUUUGUGGUCACUUUGUGUUUGUUUCGUGGCACUUUAUAGUCAUUUUACUGUAAUGUCAAGUCUCUUUGUGAUUACUUUGAAGGUUUGUUGCCAAUAACUUGAGUGUCUAUUUAAUUAUUUUUGUGUGUAUGUUGUUGAUUUAAGUCUCUGUGGUCGGUUUAAGUCUCUGUGGUCGGUUUAAGUUUCUCUGUGGUCGGUUUGUCUCUUUUUUGGUCAGUUUAGGUCUCUCUGUGGUCAGUUUAAGUCUCUCUGUGGUCCGUUUAGGUCUCUCUGUGGUCGGUUUAAGUCUCUCUGUGGUCAGUUUAAGUCUCUCUGUGGUCCGUUUAGGUCUCUCUGUGGUCAGUUUAAGUCUCUCUGUGGUCCGUUUAGGUCUCUCUGGGGUCUGUUUAAGUCUCUCUGUGGUCAGUUUAAGUCUCUCUGAGGUCGGUUUAAGUCUCUCUGUGGUCGGUUUAAGUCUCUCUGUGGUCGAUUUAGUUCUCUUUUUGGUCCGUUUAGGUCUCUCUGUGGUCAGUUUAAGUCUCUCUGUGGUCCGUUUAGGUCUCUCUGGGGUCUGUUUAAGUCUCUCUGUGGUCAGUUUAAGUCUCUCUGGGGUCCGUUUAGGUCUCUCUGUGGUCAGUUUAAGUCUCUCUGGGGUCCGUUUAGGUCUCUCUGGGGUCUGUUUAAGUCUCUCUGUGGUCAGUUUAAGUCUCUCUGGGGUCCGUUUAGGUCUCUCUGUGGUCAGUUUAAGUCUCUCUGGGGUCUGUUUAGGUCUCUCUGUGGUCAGUUUAAGUCUCUCUGGGGUCCGUUUAGGUCUCUCUGUGGUCAGUUUAAGUCUCUCUGGGGUCUGUUUAGGUCUCUCUGUGGUCAGUUCCUGUCCCUUUUUCGACAGUGCCGUUGUUACUACUUUGCUGCUGACAGACUCCUGUUCAUCCUUUACUUGCAGGUUUAUGUUUGUUUUAUUCACGUAUGAACAAAGAAGCAGCUUCCGUCUGCUGUCGGAGCCUUUUAUGUUGCUGAACGCGGCGUUGUGUUUAUUCUGGACACGUGCACAAACACAAACCCUGUUGGUCCUGCUGUUCACACACGCUUCCCUCCGAUUCAUCGCCGUCCAACACACACCAACAGGCUCCGGUUCUAUUGUUGGACCCAGUUUAGAUCCCGCUGCUGCACGCAAAUCAUUGUUGAGUCUAUUUCUGUCAUUGUGUGUCUGUUUGUGGUCAUUCUGUGUCUAUUUGUGUCUGUUUGUGGUCAUUCUGUGUCUAGUUGUGGUUCAUUUGAGUGUCUUUAGGGGAAAUACGAUCGUAAUCAUUUUUGUGUGUCUUUGUGGUUGUUUUGAGCCUCUUCUUGGUCAUUUUGAGUCUUUUCUUGUCACGUUGAGUCUUUUUGAAAAAUGUUUGAGUCUCUUUGUGGUUCUUUUUUGUCUUUGUGUAGUGUUUGACGUGUUUUUGCUAGUUUUGUGUCUCUUUCUGGUAAAUUGAAGUCUGUUGUGUUUUUGUGUCUGUUGUGUGUUUGCAGCUGUUUUCAGUCUUGUUGUGGUCAUUUUAAAUAUUUUUUGGUUUUGUAUCAUUUUGCGGUCAUUUUGCAGCUCUUUAUGGUUGUUUUAAGUCUCUUAUUGGUCAUUCUGAGAUUUUAUCAAAAAUGUCUGUGGUUGUUUUGUGUCUUCUUGUGGUCAAUUUGAGUGUCUUUUUGGUUGUUUUGUGUCUUUUUGCAGCUUUUUGUGUGUCUUUGUGGUCAUUUAGUCUCUUUUUGUUGUCAUUUUGUAGAUUUCUUUGGUGGUUUGCAUCGCUCUUUGGUAAUUUUAAGUCUCUUUGUGAUAACUGUGUGUGUGUUUUGCAUCUCUUCUUCAUUAUUUUUCAUCUUUGUUGUCAUUGUGAGUGUCUUUUUGGUGAUUUUAUGUCUCUUUGCUGUUGAUUUGUGUCUAUUUUAGCGCAGUUUUAGUCACUUUUUGGUCUUUUUGUGGCUCUUUGUGGUUGUUUUAAGUCUGUUAUUGGUCAUUUUAAGAUUUUUUUUUUAAAUGACCAAGUGUCUUUGUGGUUGUUUUGUGUCUCUUGUUGGUCAUUUUGUGUCUUUUUGCAUUUGACUUGUGUCUGUCUGUGCACAAUUUGAGUCACUUCUUGGUCAUUUUAAGUUUUUGUGAUUUUUGUAUCAUUUUGUGGUCAUUUUGUGUCUUUUAUUGGUCAUUUUAAGGUUUUUUUUGUCUCCUUGUGGCCAUUCGGGCUCUUUUAUUGUCAUUUUGUGGGUUUUUGUGGUCGUUUGCGUCUCUGUUUUGUAAUUUCUGUCUCUUCGUGGUGGAUUAAAGUCUCUGGACAAGUUUUAUUGGUCUUUAUUGUCCUAUCUUUAGCUCCAGUUUAAACUGUGUGACUUCUUGCUGCUGCUAAAUGACAGUCGACCAUUUGUAGCUAACAUUAAAUUGAUCUUACUGUUCACGUUCUGCCUCUCACUUGUGGUCAGAAACGGUUAAUAUCAGAAAGUGAGAGUCACAUGUGGGACUUCCUGUGUUUACUCUGGGAUCCUGGUUUCACAUGAGGCAGCUGUGCUUCAGCAUCACUGACAGAGAUGGUGGCAGAUAGAAGGGUUUCUAUAGAAGAUAGAACGAUAAAUCCAACCACAUGAGCAGCUAAAAUGAACUACUGAUGGCGAAAGAGCUGCUUUUAAAGUCUGUUCAAACUCUACGAACUCCAAGCAGCCGUUUCUAGGGCUGUUCUGGAUCGUUUGGUGUGUCUUUGUGGUCAUUUUGUGUCUCUUUGUGGUCGUUUGGUGUCUCUUUGUGGUCAUUUUGUGUCUCUUUGUGGUCAUUUUGUGUCUCUUGUCGUUUCGUGUCUCUUUGUGGUCAUUUUGUGUCUCUUUGUGGUCAUUUUGUGUCUCUUUGUGGUCAUUUUGUGUCUCUUGUCGUUUCGUGUCUCUUUGUGGUCAUUUUGUGUCUCUUUGUGGUCAUUUUGUGUCUCUCUGUGGUCAUUUUGUGUCUCUUUGUGGUCGUUUUGUGUCUCUUUUUGGUCGUUUUGUGUCUCUUUGUGGUCAUUUUGUGUCUCUUUGUGGUUGUUUUGAAUUUCCUUGUGGUUGUUUUGUGUCUCUUUGUGGUCGUUUUGUGUCUCUUUGCAGUUGUUUUGAGUCUCUUUCUAGUCGUUUUGUGUCUCUUUGUGGUUGUUUUGUGUCUUUUUGUGGUCGUUUUGUGUCUCUUUGCAGUUAUUUUGUGUCUCUUUCUAGUCGUUUCAUGUCUCUGCAGUUAUUUUGUUUCUCUUUCUAGUCGUUUCGUGUCUCUUUGUGGUUGUUUUGUCUCUUUGUGGUUGUUUUGUGUCUCUUUGUGGUCGUUUUGUGUCUCUUUGUGGUCGUUUUGUGUCUCUUUCUAGUCGUUUCGUGUCUCUUUGUGGUUGUUUUGUUUCUCUUUGUGGUUGUUUUGUCUCUUUGUGGUUGUUUUGUGUCUCUUUGUGGUCGUUUUGUGUCUCUUUGUGGUUGUUUUGUCUCUGUGGUUUUGUGUCUCUUUGUGGUCGUUUUGUGUCUCUUUGUGGUCGUUUUGUGUCUCUUUCUAGUCGUUUUGUGUCUCUUUGUGGUUGUUUUUGUCUAUGGCUGCUUUAAGUGUCUUUGCAGUUGCCUGGUGUCUCUCUUUAAUCAUUUUGUUUGUCUUUGUGGUCGUUUUGUGUCUUGUUUUAGAUGUGAAACAUGAACUGAAACAUCCACAGUCUGGUCGGUUCUCUAUUCUUUCCCUGUCUCACCUCAUUUCCUUCGUCUGUUUCCUGUCGACUCUCUAAUAGAGGUGUUAAAUGCUCAGAACAUCGGAGGUUUACUUUGUCUCAGAGCCACAGAAAUGGAAAUAGAAACUCACUGCUGAGAACUAAUGAACCUUCUGCUCUCUAAACCUCAUAGUUUCAUGGCUCAUGUCCUCAUAAACAGACACUAUUUCACAUAUUAGGGACGGAUUUUUAUCAUAAUAAUGAGCCUUCAGCUCUGCAGUGUGACAUAACUGUCGUCUGGCUGCUCCCUCAGCAGCGUUGGUUUGUUUAUUCAUGAACUAACAAAGGAUUGUGGGUCAGAAAGUCCAGCCGGUUGGUUUAUUUACUGCUAAAUCUGAGCAGAUGCAGUCCAACAUCCUGGAAUUUUAGAUAUUUGACUCGUGUUUGAAUCAUGUACUCAGACGUAUUUAUCUACUGAACUAUAUUUAUAUUUGUGGUUAUGCUGUGUCUCUUUUUGAACAUUUUGUGUCUUUUUUGGUUAUUUUGUGUGUAUUUCUGUUUAUUUUGUGUCUUUCUGGUCAUUUUAUGUCUUUUAUGGUUAUUUUGUGUUUAUUUCUGGUUAUUUUGUGUCUUUUUUGUUAUUUUGUGUCUUUUAUGGUUAUUUUGUGUGUAUUUCUGGUUAUUUUGUGUCUUUUUUGUUAUUUUGUGUCUUUUUUGGUUAUUUUGUGUGUAUUUCUGUUUAUUUUGUGUAUUUCUGGUUAUUUUGUGUCUUUUUGGUUAUUUUGUGUGUCUUUCUGGUUGUUUUGUGUCUCUUUUUGAAGAUUUUUAUUUUGUGGGGUUUUUUUUGGUUAUUUUAUGUCUUUGAGAUUAUUUUGUGUCCAUUUUUGUGUCUCUCUUUGAUUGUUUUGUGUCUGUGCUCAUUUUGUGACUCUUUUUGAAAAUUUUGUGUCUUUUUUUUGGUCAUUUUGUGUGUCCUUCUGGUAAUUUUGUUUCUCUUUCUGGUUGUUUUGUGUCUCUUUUUGAAGAUUUUUAUUUUGUGGGGUUUUUUCUUGGUUAUUUUAUGUCUAAGAUUAUUUUGUGUCCAUUUUUGUGUCUCUCUUUGAUUGUUUUGUGUCUCUGUGCUCAUUUUGUGUCUUUUUAUGGUUAUUUUGUGUCUUUUUUGGUUGUUUUGUGGUUGUUUUGUGUGUCUCUUUGGUCAGUCUGCAUGUCUUUGGCGUCUUAGUCUCUGUCGUCCUUUUCAGCCUCUCUGUGGUCGUACGGUCUGACAUUGUCGACAUUAUCACACCUAAAACAACUGGGACUUCCCUUCUGUCUCCAGCUGUUGUCGGUUGGUUUCUGACUAACUAAACAUCGUAUGCAAACUGAGAAUGUUGGUUCAGCGAAUCCGCUCAGCUGCUGUGCGUCAGAGCAGACUGUGGAGGAGGUGAAUUCACUGGAAACCUUCUCACAGCUGAAGAACUGAAGAACAGUUUGGUGUUUACACUUGAAUUUCAGGACUCGGUUUAUCUGUGAGACUAAAGUGCAGCUCAGAAUGUGGUCCAGGUUUAAAUCCGCCUCCUCAUUUUGUUUAAACAGACGAUCAUAAACCGUCUGCAGCUGAUCAGAGACUCUGCUGUUUUAAAUCUGUAAACUCUGAGCUGUUUGGCUCAUUUUUACUCGCUGUGGUUCAUUUUUCUCUACAGCUUAAAGUCCUGCAGUUCUACGAAAACAGGACUGAGAACCUUUUCGGUUGUUUUGUGUCUUUUUGUUUUUGUUUUGUGUCUUUUUGUGGCUACUUUGUGUCUUUUUGUGGUCAUUUUGUGUGUCUUUGUAGUAUUGUUUUCUCUUUGUUGUUGUUUUGUGUCUUUUUGUGGUUGUUUUGUAUGUCUGUGGUAUUUUUUCUCUUUGUUGUUGUUUUGUGUCUUUUUGUGGCUACUUUGUGUCUUUUGUGGUUGUUUUGUGUCUUUUUGUGGUUGUUUUGUGUCUUUUUGUUUUUGUUUUGUGUCUUUUUGUGGCUACUUUGUGUCUUUUUGUGGUCAUUUUGUGUGUCUUUGUAGUAUUGUUUUCUCUUUGUGGUUGUUUUGUGUCUUUUUGUGGUCAUUUUGUGUGUCUUUGUAGUAUUGUUUUCUCUUUGUUGUUGUUUUGUGUCUUUUUGUUGUUGUUUUGUAUGUCUUUGUGGUAUUUUUUCUCUUUGUUGUUGUUUUGUGUCUCUUUGUGGCUACUUUGUGUCUUACUUUCAUCAUUUUGUGCCUCUUUUUGCUUAUUUUGUGUCUCUUUGUUGUAUUUUUGUGUGUCUCUGUGGUAAUUUUGUGUCUUUUUGUGUGUCUUUUAGUUUCUUUGGUGCUUAGUUCGUUAUUCUAGAUGUAGAAAAUUCUGGAACCUCCAAACAAACCUGACAGUUAACUAGAUGAAUGUUUCCGUCUGUCGUUUAGAACUGAGUAGAGAGUCUUUUCCAUCCUGAUGUUUCUGCAGCUCCUUUUGUUUGUUCUUCAGUCUGUUUAUUGAUGUUAGUUCAAAGCACAUUGUUCAUCUGAAGGUUGCAUUUAAAUAGAUUCUCUUUUCAC